UCUCGAAUGAAACCGCGAGAGCUACGGGAGAUUUGAAGCUCAUGGCAGAUGCGCCCGAGAGAUGACUCGCCUUAUGAUUGGCUGAAUGUUAGUUCACUCAAAUCUACAUAACAAAUCGAAGAACUUGGGUGGAAAUAUUGGCAGUGGGUCAAAAAAUUGCGGAGGACAGAUUGCAAGCACACUCGGGCCGAUUCUGGCUGAAAUGCGGCACUGUCGGCUCAGUCACCACGUCGGUGAGAAGAUAAUGGGCCAGAGCCGCGCCGACUCUACAAAACACUUCUGGCUGACAGACGGCUUUUUCUCUCUGGGCCGAUCUCGGCUGAAAGCUGUUGUACGUGCGGCAGGUCCACACUCGGUGUAGUUGUGUGUCUCUACCUUCGGCCCGAGCUGGUUUUGUCUCCGGCGGCCGCUGCUAGAAUGAAGAUCAGCCGCUGAGAGAAAGAUUUGGCGGUUAAUCCUGAGGAGAUUUUGGCGGGCGCUGUUCUCAAGAGGAAUACUUCAGCUGCAAAAAGAAAUUCUGAGCUGUUGCAUGUACAUUCAUCAAACAUAUAAGGCUGCAAUUUGGAAAAAAACUUUCAAGCUAAUGCUGCUGAAAUGGAGGUCAAGGGGACUAUGAAGAGGUGGCUCCAGCUGAAGGGUGGACUUCAGGAGGCAGAGACACUCUGUUACAGUAAUCAGCUGAUCCAUUCGGUAUCCAGACCAGGUGGUGGACCUGCACCCAGGAGCGACCACAACACAUCCCUGACUGUCAGCGGAGACCAUGUCAGCUAGAUGACAGAUCUCUGUGAAGACCUCAUUGAUGGCCCCAGCACAGAUCCUCAGCAAAGACUACGAGAACCAGACAAGCCCUCUGCACAGACCCUUUUUACCAGCUUCACCUGCUGGCGUGAUGUUACUUCAUGCAGAAGAAGUUGGAUGAAAUAUUCUGAAUGAUAUCAAUCCACAAUCUGACUUGUGAUGCAGCCUGGAAUAAUCACACCACGUUCAUUUGUUUGGCCAGAUGAGAACUGGUUUCUUGACUGAGCCGGGUCUUGUUUGGGUUUGGGUUCCUUGUCACUGUUGCCUUUUGUCUUGCUUGGUUGAAGACACCUAAUAUUCAGCAAUAUUACUGACUUGACUGCACUGACACCAUUUGAUAAGAACUGAACUGAAUUAUGACACACAAUGUUUUAUAUA